UGAGAAAUUGGUACUAAUACCCGAUGGGAUGCAUUUCCGGCAUCGGAGAUGCAUUAAAGAUUUUAUCGGUGACGGAUGAGGAUGCGUACGAUUAGCUUGUGGCGGGGUAACGGCCCACCAAGGCAACGAUCGUUAGGGGUUCUGAGAGGAAGGUCCCCCCACACUGGAACUGAGACACGGUCCAGACUCCUACGGGAGGCAGCAGUGAGGAAUAUUGGUCAAUGGGCGGAAGCCUGAACCAGCCAAGUAGCGUGAAGGAUUACAGCCCUACGGGUUUUAAACUUCUUUUAUAUAAGAGUAAUGUGCACUACGUGUAGUGUAUUGCAAGUAUUAUAUGAAUAAGCAUCGGCUAACUCCGUG
rnacentral:rRNA from 1 species